UACGGGGGGGGCAAGCGUUGUUCGGAAUUAUUGGGCGUAAAGCGCGUGUAGGCGGCUUUGCAAGUCGGGUGUGAAAGCCCUCAGCUUAACUGAGGAAGUGCGCCCGAAACUGCAGAGCUUGAGUACCGGAGAGGAUGGCGGAAUUCCCCAAGUAGAGGUGAAAUUCGUAGAUAUGGGGAGGAACACCGGUGGCGAAGGCGGCCAUCUGGACGGAUACUGACGCUGAGACGCGAAAGCGUGGGUAGCAAACAGG
rnacentral:rRNA from 1 species